rnacentral:rRNA from 1 species
UACAGAGACUGCAAGCGUUAUUCGGAUUCACUGGGCGUAAAGGGUGCGCAGGCGGCCGUGUGUGUCAGGUGUGAAAGCUCGGAGCUUAACUCCGGAAUUGCGCCUGAAACUACAUGGCUAGAGCAUUGGAGAGGGUAGCGGAAUUCACGGUGUAGCAGUGAAAUGCGUAGAUAUCGUGAGGAACACCAGAGGCGAAGGCGGCUACCUGGACAAUUGCUGACGCUCAGGCACGAAAGCGUGGGGAGCAAAAGGG